rnacentral:rRNA from 1 species
AUUGUAGGCUGAAACUCGCCUACAUGAAGCUAGAGUUACUAGUAAUCGCAGAUCAGAAUGCUGCGGUGAAUGCGUUCCCGGGUCUUGUACACACCGCCCGUCACGCCACGGAAGUUGGGGCGCCCGAAGCCACUUAGCUAACCCUUUGGGAAGCGAGUGUCGAAGGUGAAAUCAAUAACUGGGGUGAAGUCGUAACAAGGUAAC